rnacentral:rRNA from 1 species
AUGGCCGCUUGCGAGGUGCUGUAUGGUUGUCGUCAGCUCGUGCCGUGAGGUGUCGGGUUAAGUCCCAUAACGAGCGCAACCCCUACUGCUAGUUGCCAGCGGGUCAUGCCGGGGACUCUAGCGGAACUGCCAGCGUAAGCUGCGAGGAAGGUGGGGAUGACGUCAAAUCAGCACGGCCCUUACGUCCAGGGCUACACACGUGUUACAAUGGCCAGUACAGAGGGCAGCCACCCCGCGAGGGGGCGCUAAUCCUAAAAGCUGGUCCCAGUUCGGAUCGGAGUCUGCAACCCGACUCCGUGAAGCUGGAUUCGCUAGUAAUCGCGCAUCAGCCACGGCGCGGUGAAUACGUUCCCGGGCCUU